CCUACGGGUGGCAGCAGUGGGGAAUAUUGGACAAUGGACGCAAGCCUGACCCAGCAACGCCGCGUGAAUGAAGAAGGCUUUCGGGUUGUAAACUUCUUUUAUUGGGGACGAAACAAAUGACGGUACCCAAUGAAUAAGCCCCGGCUAACUACGUGCCAGCAGCCGCGGUAAUACGUAGGUGGCAAGCGUUAUCCGGAUUGACUGGGUGUAAAGGGUGUGUAGGCGGGUUGGCAAGUCAGAUGUGAAAACUCUGGGCUUAACCCAUGGCCUGCAUUUUAAACUGCUCUUCUUGAGUGCUGGAGAGGAAAGUGGAAUUCCGGGUGUAGCGGUGAAAUGCGUAGAUAUAAGGAGGAACAUCAGUGGCGAAGGCGGAUUGCUGGACAGUAACUGACGCUGAGGCGCGAAAGUGUGGGGAGCAAACAGGAUUAGAUACCCGGGUAGUC
rnacentral:rRNA from 1 species